ACAAUCUUGAGUUAAAAUGAAUGCCUCUCCAAGAACUCAAGAAAUGACAUACUUCGAUCACAUUCAGAGAUGCCACGAAGAGAGAGGCCCUCUCUAUGCUUGGUAUUGUAGCUUUAGAAUCACUUUUUCUUUUAUGAUUAAUUUCACUUGUUUUAUAUAUAUUUUUAAGUUUUUAGAAAUCCCUCACUUUUUGUGUCUUGUGUUGCAGCCUAUAUACUUUUUUCUGCUGUUUCUGUUGCGUAGAGGCUUGUGAAUGCUGCUUGGAUUGCUUGUGCUGCUGUUGCCGCCGUCCUUAAUGCAUGUUUGGUACGAAAAGUCGGAUAAUUUUUUAUGGUAUUUAAGAUCGAAAAGAAGUAGGGUCCUUUCUGAUACUACUUACAGAAAGUGCUAAUGAAUAAACUAUUGGAUGCUUCAAUAAAUUAGUAUGUUUGUUGUUGGAUUCUUUGCUUGUAUUAAUUAUAAACUUCUGGCUAAUGUUUAUAAAUGGUUUAUGAUAGGUUAUAUCAUUUUUA
rnacentral:lncRNA from 1 species